UUGUAAACCCAAUUCAAUGGACUUUCCAAAUGGCCCCUAUCAUGAAUUAAUUUCAUCAAUUAAUUCAAUAGACUUUACAAACAGGCUCCCAGCAUGAAUUAAUUUCAUGAAUCAGCUUCAUGAACAUCUCGAUUUUAAACCCAAAUUCAAACGACCGAAACGUCGCUAAACUAAACCCAUAUGCAAACGACCGAAACGUCGUUAAACUAAACACAAAUUCAAACGACCGAAACGUCGCUAAACUAAACCCAAACCAAACGACCGAAACGUCGUUAAACUAAACCCAACGACCGAAAUGUCGGUAAACUAAACCCAACGACCGGAACGUCGUUAAACUAAACCCAACGAUCGGAACGUCGUUAAACUAAACCCAACGACCGGAACGUCGUUAAACUAAACCCAACGACCAAAGCGUCGUUAAACUAAACCCAACGACCGAAGCGUCGUUAAACUAAACCCAACGACCGAAACGUUGUUAAACUAAACCGAACGACCGGAACGUCGUUAAACUAAACAGAACGACCGAAACGUCGCUAAACUAAUCCAAACGACCGAAACGUCGCUAAACUAAACCCAUAUUCAGACGACCAAAACGUCGUUAAACUAAACCCAAAUCCAAACGACCGAAACGUCGUUAAACUAUACCCAAAUCCAAACGACCGAAACGUCGUUAAACUAAACCCAAAUCCAAACGACCGAAACGUCAUUAAACUAAACCCAAACUCAAACGACCGAAACGUCGUUAAACUAAACCCAAAUUCAAACGACCGAAAUGUCGUUAAACUAAACCCAAUGACCGAAACGUCGUUAAACUAAACCGAACGACCGAAAUGUCGUUAAACUAAACCCAACGACCGAAACGUCGGUAAACUAAAGCCAACGACCGAAAUGUCGUUAAAAUAAACCCAAUGACCGAAACGUCGUUAAACUAAACCAAAUGACCGAAAUGUCGUUAAACUAAACCCAACGACCGAAACGUCGUUAAACUAAACCCAAAUCCAAACGACCAAAACGUCGCUAAACUAAACCCAUAUUCAGACGACCGAAAUGUCGCUAAACUAAACCCGAAUCCAAACGACCGAAAUGUCGCUAAACUAAACCCAUAUUCAAACGACCGAAACGUCGUUAAACUAAACCCAAAUUCAAACGACCGAAUCGUCGCUAAACUAAACUCAAACCAAACGACCGAAACGUCGUUAAACUAAACCCAACGACCGAAACGUCGGUAAACUAAACCCAACGACCGAAACGUCGUUAAACUAACCCAACGACCGAAACGUCGUUAAACUAAAUCCAACGACCGAAACGUCGGUAAACUAAACCCAACGAUCGAAAUGUCGUUAAACUAAACCAAAUGACCGAAACGUCGGUAAACUAAACCCAACGACCGAAAUGUCGUUAAACUAAAUCUAACGACCGAAACGUCGGUAAACUAAACCCAACGACCGAAACAUUGUUAAAUUAAACCCAACGACCGAAACGUCGUUAAACUAAACGUAAACCCAACGACCGAAACGUCGCUAAGCUAAACCCAAAUUCAAACGACCGAAAAGUCGUUAAACUAAACCCAAAACUUCAAUCCACUACCAAGUUGCUAAAUUGAGUACCUAGUCUUAUAAAAUUAUGUGCGGUGGAGAAAUGCCCUUAUCUAAGCCAUGUACACGGCAGAUUAUAUUAAUAAAAUUUUAUUUGCCUGUUUU
rnacentral:lncRNA from 1 species